rnacentral:lncRNA from 1 species
AUAGACAAGCCUCACUAUGUUAUGGAUAAUGUGACUAUAUUUAAAUUAGUUGUAGCUUUGGGUUCAUGUAAGUGUGUCUAGUUAUAUAUAUGUCACUAUAUUUAANNNNNNNNNNNNNNNNNNNNNNNNNNNNCCUAGUUAUCUUCUUUUUGCAUGUAAGUGGCUAGGGAGCUUUUUGUAGUGUUCUUUUGGUGUGUUGUUCUGUUGUUUAUAAUCCUAGAAAAAAUGGCAGAUGCAAAAUUGAAUUUCAUUUUGGUUUGUUGUUACUGUGUUUGUUUGUGGAAGCUUUGUCAAAUAUUUUAACUAAUUAAAUUGUUAUUUUUAUUUUCAGCCUGACGUUGCAAGUGAGCCUGAUUCACCGUUUAAUGCAAGAGGAUCAAGUGGUGGAAGCAAUAUCUAAUGCAAGAUUAUAAUUAGGAUUAUUACAUAUUAUAGUUUUAUCAAACAACAUUUUGUUGGGUUAUUUUAACAUGUGUUUUUGAUUUGGAAGGGUGGUCAAGAGUGAUAUUAAUUCUAUAUUUUGUGAGGAUGAAUUUUAUGCUAUUAUGAAUUGUUAAGUUACAUUUGAUAUUAGACAAUAUUUAUAUAUUUAUGUUGUUUUGAAUCAAGUUUAUGUCAUUAUGGUUAUAUAUU